GUAGACAGGAUGAGGGCAGAGCCAGCUUCCUGAACUGAUGGAAGUCAUGAAGCCUUCCCUGCCUUACGCUUGGCUCUGC
rnacentral:miRNA from 1 species